GAAUCUGGAGACAGGUGCUGCAUGGCUGUCGUCAGCUCGUGUCGUGAGAUGUUCGGGUUAAGUCCCGCAACGAGCGCAACCCUUGCCUUUAGUUGCCAGCAGUUCGGCUGGGCACUCUAAAGGGACUGCCGGUGUUAAACCGGAGGAAGGUGGGGAUGACGUCAAGUCCUCAUGGCCUUUAUGACCAGGGCUACACACGUACUACAAUGGCCGAUACAAAGGGCAGCGACACUGCGAGGUGAAGCCAAUCCCGUAAAAUCGGUCUCAGUCCGGAUCGCAGUCUGCAACUCGACUGCGUGAAGUCGGAAUCGCUAGUAAUCGUGAAUCAGAAUGUCACGGUGAAUACGUUCCCGGGCCUU
rnacentral:rRNA from 1 species